AUCUUUCCGAAAUUUGGAAUGUCGGAAAUGAGAUUUUUAAUUGCAGUUUUGAUAUGAAGUGACAGAACGAUCUGUUUUAAAUUCUCACUACCGGAUAUUGACCUGAUGAAUUCAUCUUUGCCAGAGACCUCCUUUUCGAUUCGUUUCAUAGACAAAAAAGUCUGAAGAUCCGAAGCAUUCUGUUUGAUAUCUGAAAUACUAUCCCGCAAUGAC
rnacentral:lncRNA from 1 species